AGAGUUUGAUCAUGGCUCAGGAUGAACGCUAGCUACAGGCUUAACACAUGCAAGUCGAGGGGCAGCAUGUUGGUUGCUUUGCAACCAAUGAUGGCGACCGGCGCACGGGUGAGUAACGCGUAUCCAACCUACCCUUGUCCAUCGGAUAACCCGUCGAAAGGCGGCCUAACACGAUAUGCGGUUCUCAGCAGGCAUCUAACGAGAACGAAAUGUGAAGGAGAAGGAUGGGGAUGCGUCUGAUUAGCUUGUUGGCGGGGUAACGGCCACAAGGCGACGAUCAGUAGGGGUUCUGAGAGGAAGGUCCCCCANAUUGGAACUGAGACACGGUCCAAACUCCUACGGGAGGCA
rnacentral:rRNA from 1 species